rnacentral:rRNA from 1 species
AUGGAUGGGAAGAAAGUUCUUAUAAAGUCAGUGACGCAAGCACUGCUACCUCGAGGACCGUGUGAGCAUAUUGAUAGAUUAUUGAGGCAAUUUUGGUAGGGUGCAAAAGUAGGAAAAAGGAAGACAGUGUGGGUAUCAUUGAAUGAUAUGACGCAGCCAAAGUAUAUGAGAGGAUUGGGUUUCAGAAAGAUUGACCUUUUCAAUUUGGCCACGUUAGCUAAACAAGUGUGGAGACUAAUCUGUCACCCUUUAUACUUUAGUGCUCUAAUUUUGAAGGCGGUGUACUAUCAUAUAGAUGACUUUUUAACUACUUAGCUAGGGGCAAAGCUAUCCAAAAUUUGACGGAUUCUGGAGGGCAGAGAAUUUUUGAAACAGGGUCUGCUUAGAAGGAUCGGUGAUGGACAAUCUAUGCACGUAUGGACAGAUGACUGGAUCCCAAGAGAGGCCAUGAUGAAACAUGUUGUGCAACUGAAGUCCGCAAUAGUUAUGGUGGUCGGUCUAAUUGAUCAUGCCAACCAAGUAUGGAAGAAACAAGAGCUUAGUGAGCAUAUGUUAGUGCUGGAUGUGGAGAGUGUACGACAUAUCCUUUGGCCACAACAGUUUGUGUGGACUAUUUAG